AUUGACAGCUAAUUCACUAAUCUCACCCCCCCCACACCCCAUCCAAUAUUGGUCAGUCCUUGUUUUGGAUUCACUUCCUUCCUUGUCUAGCCUGGAUCCCAUGAUCCAUCACUAUAAUCAUCCUCCUUGAAAUACAGUGCUCUCAGCAGUCUUAAACUUCAAAUCCUUCCAAUUUACUUUCCUGUAAAAUCCCAACUCUGGGUGACCUUACCAUCUGCCUUCCACUGGCCUCACCGGGACAGGUGGACAUUUUCUUUAAGAAAAUCACGCAACACAGCCAACUAGUUUUACUUUGAAUUUAUCAUCUCAAACAGGUGCUAUUGUUCCUACUGUAGUCUCAGUGUCCCACUUCUAAAAUGACUGUUUAUAGCUUUUCAUCUCCUCAAGCUUUUCAGAUCCUUUCCUUCCUGUUUACGUUUUCCUUUGGAAAAUAGAAGAUAUUAUGUAUAAACUUCAUCUUUCUGGCACAAGACCCAUCUAACCCCUAACCCAGCUCUCUUGGUAAUCAUCUUUCUGUGACUGGAGAAAGUUUCAAAGGCCAGCCCCUCCUCUUGUGCUCUAGAUCCCAAGGAGUCUUGCCUUGUCUCCCUAGGUUUUCCUCUUUAUUCUGCAUUAUCAAUCUCCGUCUUGAAAAAAUCAUUCUCAUCAGUCUGCAGACAUGCUCUAGCAUCCUCCAUCUUCACCAAACCUUCCCUUGUGCAUAUCUUUCCCACCCUUUAGCCAUUUCUUGGCUCUCUUUCAUAACCAGACCUCUUUAUGGAGUUAUCCUUAGCGAUUGUCUUCACUUUCUAAUCUCCUACUCACUUUCAAUUCAUAGUGAGACUUCCUCGCCGCCCCUCCUGAAUGCUGCUUUUCAAGUCACCAAGCACUUGCCUGUUGGCCUAUCCAAAAGGAUACUUCCUGUCGUCACAUUGACCACUCUGUGCUCCUUUAAAUUGUUCUCUCCUCACAUCCAAGACACUAUCCUGUCCUGGUUUUCUUCCCACUUCACUGUUCAUUCCUAGUGUUACGCUCUAUCUCCUGCCCAACUUGAGAAAGUUGAGGGUUUUCCCCUCCAUUGGAUCUCUCUUUUCUGUGUUCCUUCCUGGGGGGAUCUUAUCAGUUUCCAUGGGUUUAAGUGCUGGCUUUUUGCUAAUAAAUUACAAAUUUGUGUUUCCCACCUCAACUUUCCAUCUGAGUUCUAGAUGUACAUGUCUCAUUGCUUGCUUAACCUCUUCCCUUGAAUGACUCAGAUAUUUCAAACUUAACAUGUCCUGAAUCUAAUUCCUCAUUCUCACCCCAAAUCUGUUGCCCUCAUCUUCCCUAUUACAGGAAAUAGCACCUCCAUCCAACCAGUUGUUCAAGCCAGAAACCCAUGUGUCAUCCCUGAUUCUUUUCAUGACCUCUCCACUGCAUCAAAUAGGCCAGCAUAACCUGUUCAUUUCAUCCCUCAACUAUGUCUUUAAUCUGUCUUCUUUUCAUUUUCAAUGGCAUCACUUAAUCCAGGUCACUGUUUUUUCUCACCUGAUUACUGUGACAGAUAGCCUACCUGUUCUUCCUGCUCCCACUCUUGACUCAUGACCCACUUCAAUACAUUCUUGACUUAGUGGCAACCAUGACCUUAUUCCUAAAUUGAACUGAGUAAAUUGUAGGAUAAAAUCUAAACGCUUUACCAUCACUCACAGAGUCCUACACAGUCUGACCCCUACCUGUCACUCCGACUCUAUUGACGCGCCUCUCUAUUGCCCACUAUGGUGAAGACACACUGGUUCCUCCAGUUUACCAAGACCUUUUAUGCACCUCAGGGGAUUAGUAAAUGCUAUUAUCUCUGCUCUCCUUGGCUUUCCCCCCACAACAACCACUUACAUAACUGCUUAAAAAUGCAUCUUAAGAAAGGCCUGCCCAGAGCAUUGUUUGGAAAUAGUCCUCACCUCUCUCCUCCCAUUUGCUCUCUUCUUUUUUUCUUGGAAUUUCUUAUCUCAAUUGUAACUCUAUGUAUUUGUUUAUUUACUUUGUGUAAAAAAAGAUAAUAAUAAUAAGGGUGUGUUUCCUAUACUGGAAUGAAUGAAAGAAGAAACUGUGUCUGGAUGUCUAGAUUCUUCAACACUCUAUUCCCAGCCCCUAGCAUAAUACCUGGCACAAAUUAGGUGAAUAAUAAAUAAUUGUUGAAGGAAUACAUGCACACAUUUGCUUAUUUUUCUGUUGGGAGUUCACUUUUCAUUGAAUGAUAAGAGCUCUUUAUAUGUUAAAACUAGCAACCAUUUGUUUAUUUCAUAUGCUGCAGAAAUUUCGUCCCUGGUCAUGUAUGUAUCAAUUUAAUUCAUGAUGUCUGAUAUACAGAAAUAUAUUUUUUAUUUAGAUAAAUUUAUCUUUUCUUUCAUGAUUUCUCCUUUUGGUGAUAUGUUUGAAAAGAUCUCCAUGUCAGUGUUGUAUAAAUAUUUGUCUAUUUUUUUUCUUUUAAUUUUUUUAGACUGAAAUCUUUACUCCAAAUGGAAUUUAUUUUUGAUAUAGAUGUGAUUAAGGCUUUAAAUAUUUAUUUAGCUGUUACAUCAUCACUUAUUGAAAAUUCCCUCUAACAUUGUUUUGAAAAUUCCACACAUAUCAAAGAUUAAAUUCUUACAUGUACUUGGAGUGGUUUCUGGAUUUAUUAUUUGUUUAUUUGUUUUGGGAGGGUUUGGUAUCCUUCUCUAUUCCUUAACCAUGCUGUUGUAAUUAUUCUCAUUUUGCAAUUUGUUUUAUUGUGCGAUUAACUCUUUUUUUGUUUGUUUGUUUUUGUUUUCUUUUUGUCUUUUAGGGCCGCCCCCACGGCCUAUGGAGGGUCCCAGGCCAGGGGUCAGGGGUCACAUCGGAGCUGUAGCCACCGGCCUAUGCCAGAGCCACAGCAGCAUGGGAUCUGAGCUGCAUCUGUAACCCACACCACAGCUUAUGGCAACUCCAGAUCCUUAACCCACUGAGAGAGGCCAGGGAUGGAUCCUGCAUCCUCAUGGAUGCUAGUUGGGUUCAUUAACCGCUGAGCCAUGAUGGGAACUCCUGUGAUUAACUUUUUAAUGGGGUAAAUGUUAGUCUUCUUUUUCAAAAUAUUUUCACUUAUAUUUGUGCAUUUAUUCUUCCAGAUAAACUUUAGCUAUAUUUUAGUCAGUUUCCAAAAGAAAUUCUAUUCUAAAGCAUUUUGUUUGGAAUUGCUUUAACAUUAUAGACUAAUUGUGGGAGAAUUGCUGUUUUUGUAAUGUUAAUUUUUUCAUUCAGGAACUUGUCACAUGCCAAGGUUAUUGAAGGAUUUCUAUAUAAUUCUCAGUAAUUUUGUAGGCCCUGCAUAUUUCUUGUUAAUUAUAUUAUUAGAUAUUUCAUAUCUUUGUUGAGAUCAUUUUCUCUUUAUGUUUUAUAACUAGUUUCUCCUUGUUGGGUCAAGCUAUUGAUUUCUACAUUAGGUAACUUUUCUGAACUCUUUCAUUAAUUGUUUUAGUUGAUUCUAAGUAGACGAUCAUUUGAAGUAUAAUGGUAAUUUUCUCUCUUUAUAAUAUUAAUAUCUCAUAUUUUAAAUAAAUGAUGGUAUUAAUUUUGCUUUUAUUCCAGACUUUUUAAGAAUACCAUUAAUAUUUCACCAGCUUUUAAGAUUAGCUGUUUGAAUGAAAUAGAGUUCUUUAUCAGGCUAAGGAAGUGGUUUCCUGGUUCAAGUAUACUAAGCAUUUUAUUGAAAGUUGUUGUUGAAUUACAUUAAACAUAUUUUGGGCAACUAGAGAUAAUCAUGUGGUCUAUUAUUAUAAUAAAUUAUAUUAAUAGAUUUCCCAAUAUUGGGUUAUUUCUGCAUGAGAUGCAUCCUAUUUCAUCAUGGUGGGUUUUUUUUUUUCUUUUUUUUCCUCUUUCAGUAUAAUACAGUUGAAUUCAGCUCUUUUUCUUUUAUUUAGGGUAAUUGCCUCUAUAUUCAUAAGUAAGAUUGGACUGUAGUUUUACAUUUUAAAAUUCUAUCUUAAACAACAUCCAAAAAAAUCCUGUUCUAUGCUCUAGAUUAGUAGAGUGUAGGACUUGCCUAUUUUUUGAAGGUUUGGAGGAGCUCACCAAUAGCACUGCAUAGGUUCCAAGCUUUUUUCAGAGUGAGUGGAAGAUAAUUCUCAAAAAAAUUAAAAUUUUCUUCUAUAGUUUUGGCAUACACAGGUUAACUACUGUUUCCUGAGUAUCAAUUUAAAAAAAUAACAUUUCUAAAGAAAAUCAUGCAUUUUUGUAGAAUUUAAAAAUUUGUUAGCAAUCUUCCACAUAUAAUCUUUUUUUUUUUUUUUUUUUUUGUCCUUUUUGCCAUUUCUUGGGCCGCUCCCUCAGCAUAUGGAGGUUCCCAGGCUAGGGGUUGAAUUGGAGCUGUAGCUGACAGCCUACACUAGAGCCACAGCAAUGCGGGAUCCAAGACGCGUCUGCAACCUACACCACAGCUCACGGCAACGCCAGAUCCUUAACUCACUGAGCAAGGCCAGGGAUUGAACCCGCAACCUCAUGGUUCCUAGCCAGAUUCCUUAACCACUGAGCCACAACGGAAACUCCACCAUAUAAUCUUAUAAUUAAAAAUAUUUUUCUCAGAGUUCUCUUGUGGUGCUGUGGGUCAAGGAUCCAGCAUUAUCACUGCAGCAGCUUGGGUUUCUGUUGUGGUGUGGGUUUGAUUUCUGGCCUGGGAAUUUCCACAUGCCAUGGGUGCCACAAAAUUUUUUUUUAUGUAUUUAUAGUUAUAGCUUUUUUCUCAUUUCUAAUCUUUUCAGUUGCAUUUUUCUUUUAUUAGAUUUGUUACUCUUUUCUACUUUCCACUUCACUAAUAUAACUUUUAAUCUUUUAAAAUUCCUUCUUUCUUCUUCUCAAGUUUAUUUUGUUGUUUUCUGAAUUUUUCCUUGUAAUUAAUCACCUGGGUAAUUGAUUUUUUUUUCUUUCUUAUUUAAUAAUAGGACACAUACAACUAUGUAUUUACCUCUGAGCACAGCUUUGACUGCAUUCUCAACAGUUGUUUGGUAUGUAGUUUCUUAAUUGUUGCUAUUUAAAAAUAAUGGACUAUAAUUGCUGUUUUUAUUUCAUUUUGGACUGGUGUUUAGGCUAGUCUUGUGAGGUUUUUGUUAUUGUUAAUCCUGAUUUCUCCUUAAUAAAGAAUAAAUUUAUUAAUACUUAUGCUGCUAUUUUAAUAAGAGCUAGUUUUAUUUGUGAAAUAAUCUGUGAAGUUGUAUUAUCUGAAGUUACAUGCAGGCAUUAUCUAGAGUUCCUCAUUAUGACAGCCUACCAAUAGUGCUAAAUAUACUGAUUACUGACAAUAGGUAUUUGGUGUACCACUAGUGUCAAUAAUUUAAUGGAAUUGUGAUUUCUAUAUAAUAUUCUAGUAACUCAUGUGAAAGUCAAAACAGAGCUUAAAAAAUGUUUAUUGCUUCAAAAAUCCUCAGGUAACAUGGAAAUUAAAUGAUCAUUUAAUAAUCAGAAAAACUCUAUCAAAGUUUAUGAAAUCAGAAAGGAUUUGAAAAUUGUGAACAGGAAGUUUGCCACAAAAUUUGGGCAUUGGAAUAAUUUUUCUCUUAGAUUUGGAAAGACUCAUUUUAAAAAAGAUUUAUUUUUAUACUUACAAAUGUAAUUCAUGUACAUAAAUAAAAUAAAAAUUACCUGUAACUGC
rnacentral:lncRNA from 1 species